CAGCAGCCACGGGAAUACGGAGGGGGCUAGCGUUGUUCGGAAUUACUGGGCGUAAAGCGCACGUAGGCGGCUUGGUAAGUUAGAGGUGAAAGCCUGGAGCUCAACUCCAGAAUUGCCUUUAAGACUGCCGAGCUAGCAGGUGAGAGAGGUAAGUGGAAUUCCGAGUGUAGCGGUGAAAUGCGUAGAGAUCGGAAGGAACGUCUGUGGCGAAGGCGACUAUCUGGGCCAACACUGACACUGAGGCACGAAAGCGUGGGGAGCAAACAGGAUUAGAUACCCGCGUAGUCCCUGUCUCUUAUAC
rnacentral:rRNA from 1 species